GUCCACGCCGUAAACGAUGAGAACUAGGUGUUGCGGGUAUUGACCCCUGCAGUGCCGCAGCUAACGCAUUAAGUUCUCCGCCUGGGAAGUACGGUCGCAAGACUAAAACUCAAAGGAAUUGACGGGGCCGCACAAGCGGUGGAGCAUGUGGUUUAAUUCGACGCAACGCGCAGAACCUUACCUGGGCUUGACAUCUACGGAACCUCUGUGAAAGCAGGGGGUGCCUUUCGGGGAGCCGUAAGACAGGUGCUGCAUGGCUGUCGU
rnacentral:rRNA from 1 species